rnacentral:rRNA from 1 species
UAAGCAUAUCACUGAGCGCAGGAGAAGAAACUAACCAGGAUUUCCCUAGUAACGGCGAGCGAACCGGAAAGAGCCCAGCUUGAAAAUCGUGGCGCCCCGGCGCCUCGAAUUGUAGUCUGGAGAAGGUCCCUCUGCGGCGCGCCGGAUUCAAGUUCCCUGGAAUGGGACGUCCGAGAGGGUGAGAACCCCGUCGUAUCCGGAGUGCGUCGCUCCACGAGGACCUGUCUGCGAGUCGGGCUGUUUGGGAAUGCAGCCCUAAGCGGGUGGUAAAUUCCAUCCAAGGCUAAAUAUUGGCAAGAGACCGAUAGCGAACAAGUACCGCGAGGGAAAGAUGAAAAGGACUUUGAAAAGAGAGUUAAAAAGUGCUUGAAAUUGCUGGGAGGGAAGCGAAUGGAAGCUGCGGGUGCGCCCCGGUUGGAUGUGGAACGGCCGUCAAACGCUGGUCCGCCGCUCAACGCGGGGCGCUGGUCAGCGUGGGCCAUCGCGGCGGGACAAGAGCGGGGAUUCGCUUCCCGCCGAUGCCGCUGCGGUGGCCGAGGAACGAAGCGCGCGCCUUCCGGCGUGGGACUCGUCCCAACUGCGCGCUCGAGACGCUGGCGUAUUGAGCUCUUCAUCCGACCCGUCUUGAAACACGGACCAAGGAGUCUAACAUGUAUGCGAGCCGGUGGGCGGCAAACCCAUUGAGGCGCAAGUAACCUGACAGGUGGGACCCCGCUUGCGGGAGCACCAUCGACCGACCGUGAUCUUCUGUGAAGGGUUC